rnacentral:rRNA from 1 species
GAUGAACGCUAGCGGCAGGCUUAACACAUGCAAGUCGAGGGGUAUAGUUCUUCGGAACUAGAGACCGGCGCACGGGUGCGUAACGCGUAUGCAAUCUACCUUUUGCAGAGGGAUAGCCCAGAGAAAUUUGGAUUAAUACCUCAUGGUAUGUGAGAAUGGCAUCAUUUUCACAUUAAAGUCACAACGGCAAAAGAUGAGCAUGCGUCCCAUUAGCUUGUUGGUAAGGUAACGGCUUACCAAGGCAACGAUGGGUAGGGGUCCUGAGAGGGAGAGCCCCCACACUGGGACUGGGACACGGACCAGACUCCUACGGGAGGCAGCAGUGAGGAAUAUUGGACAAUGGGCGCAAGCCUGAUCCAGCCAUGCCGCGUGCAGGAUGACGGUCCUAUGGAUUGUAAACUGCUUUUGUACAGGAAGAAACACUGGUUCGUGAACCAGCUUGACGGUACUGUAAGAAUAAGGAUCGGCUAACUCCGUGCCAGCCGCCGCCGUAAGAC